rnacentral:lncRNA from 1 species
UGUUCUUAGGAUCUGUGAGACUCCUCUGUGGCUUGAUAGUAUGUCCUCUUUUCCUCUCUUUUUCUUUUGUUCCUCUGAAGGUAACUUGCAUUGGUUUCUAUUACUCACAGGCAGUGACAUUAAUCCUAGGAGCCCAUCAGAGUCUUUACAUAGCUCUGUGACGGGAAAACAAAUGGAGCAUAUCCCAGGCCUAGGAAUUGUCUGUCUUGGAAGGAAAAGUAACAAAACUGUGUGCCAGAAUGUGAGAGAGAAUGCUGGACAUUUGUUGUUUUUCCCAUCAACAUCUUCUCCUUGCCCCAUGGGGUAUCAUUGCUCCACAAUUCUCCAGGGAUGCAUUGUGGGUAAAACUGACUCCAUGUUUAAGCCAAUCAGCACGUUCCAUACAUCUGCCAGAGUGACUGACUUCCUAAUGGUCAGAUGAUAUGAAUCCUGCCCAUGACAGCUAAGAAGUUUCAGUUCUCAUGCUUUUGUUGGAACUGUCAGUGAAACAUAUUCUCCUUUCCUGUUGGUAUGAAUGUGAAAGGAUCACGGGACUGGAAUUAUGGAAGAUAGUUUGUCAACACAUGAGUCCUGUGCAUGAACUGAACACCAGGAAAGCAUAGUUGAGAAAUUUAGACAGGAGCUCCAGCCCAGGGAAGUCAUUUGAGCCCUGGAUCAAGCUGUACCUGAAACUGGAGCUCCCUCUGGAUUCUUUAGUUUUGUGAGUUAAUAAAUUCUUUUUUCUUUUCUUAAUCUGAUUUGAGUUAGAGUUUUGUCACUUGCAGCAGAAGGAAUCAUAACUAAUACAGUUAUGGGAAGUUAUGUUUGAGGAAAGGUGUCAGGUAAUCUAUAAGAUGGAGAGGCUGAACUAUAAACAGAGCAGGUCCUAAAACUCCAGUAGGCACGCUUUCUCCUUUUCUUGAAAUCAUAAAACACUACAAUUGACAUGGCAUAUAUCACACAUUGCCUUGAACUGCAAUUACAGUUCUUGUAUGGUAGGUACAAAUUUCACAACCAUAAAACUCCGGUGUGCAGAAAUGUAACUUUCUUUAUUGUUUUAUAAUUGAGCUUAAUUUAGCUCACAAACCCUCAUUUCUGCUAAUGGUAGGGAACUUAAUCUUGCCAAUUCCAGGCAAUUCUGUCAGUCCUGGUUUAAAGCUCUGUAUCUUUCAAUUACUUUAGGAUUCCAAGUUCCUCUACUCCUUUCUUUUUCCCUAAGGUGAUCUGUGUUCUAGCAAACAUGGCAAGGAGGCAAAUGUCUGGUCUGGGAGUUGACCUCGGGCCAGUGGGCAACAGGCUGUAAUUGGUCCAGGAGAGCUGGGCACUCAUCCUUGUUGGCUCUGUCCCCACCCAGUUCUUAGCUCAGCUUCUGCAGAUUCAGCCAUGACUUUGUCUAGUUCCUAGUUUGGGCUGCCCACAUAGUCCCUGGCCUUACAUCAUGGUCACCUCCCUACCAGGCACACCAGCCCUCAAUUCUCAGCUCCCUUUGGCAUUCGAAUCCAACGUUUGGGGACUUCUGGGUUUCCACAUCCUGCAGGAGUGAGGGUGUUGGGAGGAUGGGUCCUCUCGGCAUCCUGUCUGCCUGAAUCAUCUCUGCUCCCAUUUCUGCAUUAUAGGAACCAACUGUGAUGGUUAAUUUUAUGUGGCAACUUGAUUGGGCCAAGGGACGUCCAGAUAUCUCACCAAACAUUCUUUCUCCACAGUCUGUGAGGGUGUUUCCGGAAGAGAUUAGCAUCUGAAUUGGUGGACUGAGUCAAGCAGAUGGCCCUCUCCAAUGUGGGUGCAGGCCACCCAAUCUGUUGCAGGCCUGAGUAGAAUAAAAAGGUAGAGGAAGGGAGGGUUCUUUCUCUGUGUCUUCUUCUGACUGCUUGAACUGGGACUUUGAUCUUCCAUCCUCAGCACUCGUGGUUCUCAGCCUUCAGACUUGAAAUGGAAAUCACAGCACCAGCUCUGCGCUUCUCAGGCCUUGACCUAUACCAUUGACUCCUGGGUCUCUACCUUGCUUGCUUCCCUCCUGUGAGAUCUGCAGCUCCCACCCAGGAGGGCUAUUGUCCUCACCAUGUGCCGUGGUUUGUUGAGCUCUUUGCUCUGGGACCCUCCUGGCUGGCUCUUGAUGUUUCUUGAAAUACAACAAAAGAUCUUUUUCCUCUCACCUGUCUGGAUUUUAUAAAUGAAAAUCAUGGUCUUUAAGACCAUGCCUCCAAGACCAAUUAAGACCAUGUCUCAAUUGCCAGAAAUUCACUCCAAAGGUCCAAGUUCCAGAGUUUAAAUACAUGUACUGGCUUCCUCAUUGGGUCAGCUCUUCCCUGCUGCCACAGGCCUCAGACUUGCGGUUUUGCUUUAGUGGAGGAAGCACUGCAGGGCAGAGACAAGGAAAAGAGUUCCAGAGAAGGAAAGCCACUUGGUACUAUUUCACAACAGGAUCUGGCUCAGUGAGCCACAGCUACUCCUCCAACCACAGAAGCGCCUCCAGUCUUGCUCCCCAUGUGGGAUGGCCAUUGCUGUGGGGUUUGCAGGUUGCUUGACACCUUUGUGGAGCCAAACUCCACCAGCGCUACUGAGAAGUGCAGCUAGUAGAAGGAACUGUCCCUUCCAGCUUAACUAUCCUUUUUUUAAGGCCAGUUGGCCCCAGGUGGUCAUUGUUCUUUUAGCCUCUGAAAGUUGGCCUCAGUGUUUUAUUUCAGUAGCUUCUUGUCAAUAAACCAACACUGAGUUCCCUGCAGUGUUGGCCUAGGCUGUGGUGGCCCCUGUGGGACUCCUAACUCAUCCUCAGUGCUGUGAGUUGAAUGGUCUGCCAUAAAGAUGUGUUGAAAUUCUAGCCCCUGGUGGCAGUGAAUGUGACCUUGUUUGGAAACGGUCUUUGCAGAUGUGAUUAGUUAAGGAUCAAGAUGAGAUCUUGCUGGAUUAGGGUGUUGCCUGAACUUAAUGACUGGUGUCCUUAUAAAAAAAGGAGAGGACACACAGAGACCCAGACUCACAGGGAGAAAGCCACACAAUGAUGGAGGCAGAGCUGGCAGUGAGGCAUCUACCGGCCAAGGGACACCAGGGACUGCUGGGAGCUGCCAGGAGCUGGAAGAAGCAGGGAGGAUCCUUCCCUGGGGACUUUGGAGGAGUGUGGCUCUGCUGACACUUUGA